CUGAAAACCGCUCUGCGCGACAAAGGGGAGGGUCUGCUUGCGCGCUCACGUGCGCGCCCACCUCCCGUCUGCUAUCCGAUCCUACGCGGUCUAUUCGCUGACUCAGUGCCUUAAGCAGCAUCACCGUUCACCUGAACACAGCUACAGCAUCCUCUGCGGAGAAAUACAUCAGCAAUGGCUAAAACAGCAACCGCAUAUAAAGAGAAGAUGAAGGAGUUGUCUGUCCUCUCCCUCAUCUGCUCCUGCUUCUACCCAGAGGCACGCAACAAGCUUGUGCGUGAGUUUGAAGACAUGGAGGUGAAACCUAUAAACAAGCGGGCUUCUGGCCAGGCGUUUGAGGUGAUUCUCAAGCCUGUGUCGCCGGUGUCAGAUGUGGCCCACAACCUCCCCUUAACCCCCAAGAGGGAUAUCUCCUUGGAGGACAUUGAGAAGAAACUUGAGGCUGCUGAAGAACGGAGGAAGUAUCAGGAGGCCCAGGUGCUGAGGGCUUUGGCAGAAAAGCGAGAGCAUGAGAGGGACGUGUUGCUAAAGGCCAUGGAAGAGAACAGCAACUUCAGCAAGAUGGCAGAGGAGAAGCUCCAGCUGAAGAUGGAGCAGAUCAAGGAGAACCGUGAGGCCCAUCUGGCAGCCAUGAUUGAGCGUCUACAGGAGAAGGAGAGACAUGCAGCCAUGGUGCGCAAGAACAAAGAACUGAGGGAAGAGCUGACAGCAUGAGCCUCACACAAGUCCUGACUUCCAUGGUCCAUCAACAUCCCUCCAUCCUCCUCCUGCCAUCACCCUCCUUAGAACAGACACCCAACCCUGGAGGCCGAGAGAACGACGGUUGGUGUACCUAGACUCCUCAGCAUAUCAGCGUAUCCCAUCUGUAUCUUCCUCACGCACACACCUACUCAUUCUGGAACACGCACGCUUGGAACUUAACAAUACGCCAAACCCACUGAUUCAUAAAGUGUCACUUCCUCUGAAAUGAGCUUGAUAAUGAACUUGAUAGGUGCUUUAUUGUUAUUAAGAAUGUCUUUGCCCAAUGGGAGCAGCUGUUUAUACACUUGCAGAUUCCCGCUUACCCUGACUACUUUCUUUGUCAAUGAAUUCUCAUCUUUAGCCAAAUCAAUAGCUCUGUUACGUACACAGUAUUUGGGGAUUGGUCUCUUGAAUGUUAUGACACCAUACUGGUACCAUGCAUAUUGUCUUGGACAGUGGAAUGUGCUGUUGCUCCCACCUUGAUAGUGAUAGUGUGAACAUAACGUAUGUCUGUGUGGGUGUGUGUGAAUGCAAAUUUACCACAAGGCAUCACUAGCCUCUGCUCUCCUUAGGGGAUUAGAUGGAGAAUGGAUGCAGGAUGCUUUACAUUCAGCACACUGAACUAGUCUCUUUUUAUUAUACAAUACCACUGAUAUCUGCUUGCAUCCUCUGCUGCUUGUGUUUCUCCCUUCAUAUAUUUCUCUGUGAAAGCUUCGCUGAAUAAAGGUUUGGGGUUCUGUGAACAUGGCAUGCACCAUCUAAUACUUUUCUGUGCUAAAAGAGGAGGGAAAAUGUAAACUG